UACGGGGGGUGCGAGCGUUGUCCGGAAUCACUGGGCGUAAAGGGCGCGUAGGUGGUUUGAUAAGGGUGUGGUGAAAGUCCGGGGCUCAACCCCGGAUCUGCCGUGCCGACUGUCAAACUCGAGGGCUGUAGAGGCAGACGGAAUUCCGGGUGUAGCGGUGGAAUGCGCAGAGUAUCAGGAGGAACACCGGUGGCGAAGGUGGGUCUCUGGGCCGAUACUGACGCUGAGGAGCGAAAGCGUGGGGAGCGAACAGG
rnacentral:rRNA from 1 species